UACGGGGGGAGCAAGCGUUGUUCGGAUUUACUGGGCGUAAAGGGCGCGUAGGCGGCCACCGCAAGUCGGUUGUGAAAUCUCUGGGCUUAACCCAGAAAGGUCAACCGAUACUGCGGGGCUAGAGUGCAGAAGGGGCAACUGGAAUUCUCGGUGUAGCGGUGAAAUGCGUAGAUAUCGAGAGGAACACCUGCGGCGAAGGCGGGUUGCUGGGCUGACCACUGACGUGAAGCGCGAAAGCUAGGGGAGCGAACGGG
rnacentral:rRNA from 1 species